rnacentral:rRNA from 1 species
GACGAACGCUGGCGGCGUGCCUAACACAUGCAAGUCGAACGGGGCAGCCCCUUCGGGGACUGCUUAGUGGCGAACGGGUGAGUAACGCGUGAGGAACCUGCCUUUCAGUGGGGGACAACAGUUGGAAACGACUGCUAAUACCGCAUAACAUCUUCGGGGGGCAUCCCCUGAAGAUCAAAGCUUUANGUGCUGAAAGAUGGCCUCGCGUCUGAUUAGCUAGUUGGUGAGGUAACGGCCCACCAAGGCGACGAUCAGUAGCCGGUCUGAGAGGAUGAACGGCCACAUUGGGACUGAGAUACGGCCCAGACUCCUACGGGAGGCAGCAGUGGGGAAUAUUGGGGCAAUGGGGGAAACCCUGACCCAGCAACGCCGCGUGAAGGAAGAAGGCCUCGGUGUAACUCUUUUACCAGGGACGAAGAACGUGACGGUACCUGGACGAAAAAGCAACGGCUAACUAACGUG